ACUCCUACGGGAGGCAGCAGUGGGGAAUCUUGGACAAUGGGCGCAAGCCUGAUCCAGCCAUGCCGCGUGAGUGAUGAAGGCCUUAGGGUCGUAAAGCUCUUUCGCCAGGGAUGAUAAUGACAGUACCUGGUAAAGAAACCCGCGUAAUCCGUGCCAGCAGCCGCGGUAAUACGGAGGGGGUUAGCGUUGUUCGGAAUUACUGGGCGUAAAGCGCGCGUAGGCGGAUCAGAAAGUUGGGGUGGAAUACC
rnacentral:rRNA from 1 species